GACGAACGCUGGCGGCGUGCCUAAUACAUGCAAGUCGGCCGCAGUUGCGACCGGGUGAGUAACGCGUAGGUAACUACCUAUUAGAGGGGAAUAACUAUUUGAAACGAUAGCUAAUACCGCAUACUAGUUGAUGGACCUGCGUUGUAUUAGGUAGUAGGUAGGGUAAAGGCCUACCUAGGCAACGAUACAUAGCCGACCUGAGAGGGUGAGCGGCCACACUGGGACUGAGACACGGCCCAGAAUCCGACGGGAGGCAGCAGUAGGGAAUCUUCGGCAAUGGGGGGAACCCUGACCGAGCAACGCCGCGUGAGUGAAGAAGGGUUUCGGAUCGUAAAGCUCUGUUGGUAAGGAAGCGGUACUUAACCAGAAAGGGACGGCUAACUACGUGCCAGCAGCCGCGGUAAUUC
rnacentral:rRNA from 1 species